CCGAGUGUCGGCCCCUCCGGGGCCACCCUCCCACCCGUGUCUACCGUCCCUUGUUGCUUCGGCGGGCCCGCCCCUUGGGGGCUGCCGGGGGGCCUCGUGCCCCCGGGCUCCCGCCGGAGACGUCCACACGAACCCUGUCUGAAGGUUGCCGUCUGAGUGUUGAUGCAAUCGUCA
rnacentral:misc_RNA from 1 species